UGUCUUUUUUCUUUUACUGGUACAGAACUAGUUUGGAUUACAGAAACAUUCUGGCUCUACAGAAUGAACAAUAAUAAAGCAACAAACUUUUUAAAAGAAUAUAUUAAAAGCUGUGUUCAGAACAUGUGAAUAUUGAAUGCGGUUUUACUUCUUGGUGAAAGAUGUGACCAGAGAUUAUUCCCUUCCUUUUUGAUAGAUGCGCCAUCUUUAUGUGGCGAUAGACGGAUCACGGACAAUGGAGGACCAAGAUUUAAAGCCUAAUAGACUGACAUGUACAUUAAAGCUUUUGAGGAAGAAUCAGAUAAGCCAUCAGCAGUAAUCGCAGUACCUGGUAUAGAAGGACGAAUCUGCCAUAUUUUCCAGCACAUGAAAGAACACUUACAUCAAGUUAGAAUUGCAAGAAAACAGAGUUUCAGAGUUUUACCAACCAUUAGUGAUACUGCAUCUGAAAAUUCUGAUUCUAAUUGAAAUAUAAUAUAGGUAACAUGUUUCAUCUGUAAAUGCCAAAAUGAAUCUGGUCAACUAACAUACAAUUUGCAUUGCUAAAUAUAGUAAUAUAAUCGACAGUGUUAUAGAAUUGAUGUUGAUACUAGCAAUACUGCACUACAUGUUCAUUUUAUUUGAUUCUUAUCAUGUCUUAUAGCUUUUGACUCUCAGAUGUAUGACUUUAGGAAACAAUAUAGGUACAAUUUUGAAUAUGUUUUUGAUUUAAAUAUAUAUAAUGUAUGUUUCCAGAUUAAACGAGUUGCAUGCUUACUUUUCCACAAUAAUUUAUAUGUUGUUUUUCCUUUUAAUCUUGCUUUGCUUAUGUUUUCUAUCUGAAUGAAAUAUAGACACACAUAUACAUAUAUAUGUAUAUAUAUAGGAAUAUUUGUAUUUAUAUGUAUGUAUAUACUUUUCCUUCCAUUGUUGCCUUAAAAUCACCUUAUUUCACUAUUAUGAUUCUGAUUUGGAUCAGAAUAAGGAAAAAUAAAGUAAAUAUCUAAUACUGAUCUUGACUGUUCUUUUGUAACAUAAAUGAGAUUGUAAAGUAUAGCAAAGGAAUAAUAAAAACUUUAUUUAAAGAUG